GGCGUGGUGGCUUUGCAGUAAAGCGCUUGGCUUCCGAACCGGGGGUCCCGGGUUCGAAUCCUGGCGCCG
rnacentral:tRNA from 1 species